rnacentral:lncRNA from 1 species
CCUCCUUCUUAUGGCAUCACGCACCCCCGUCAGUCGUCGGGUUCAUCGAAAAUCCCAUAAAAAUAAAAACUGAGCUUUUCUCUAUUCAACUGAGCCAUCUCUUCCUUGUUUUCGAUCGCCGGCGCUGCUAUUCGUGGUGCUGCACCCAUGCAGCAUGAACCCCACCUCCCUACCUAUCUUUUUCGAAGGUCAUGGCCGUUGAUGAUCGGCCAAUGAUCG